rnacentral:rRNA from 1 species
AUUGAACGCUGGCGGCAUGCCUUACACAUGCAAGUCGAACGGCAGCACGGGUGCUUGCCCCUGGUGGCGAGUGGCGAACGGGUGAGUAAUACAUCGGAACAUGUCCUGUAGUGGGGGAUAGCCCGUCGAAAGCCGGAUUAAUACCGCAUACGAUCUACGGAUGACAGCGGGGGACCUUCGGGCCUCGCGCUAUAGGGUUGGCCGAUGGCUGAUUAGCUAGUUGGUGGGGUAAAGGCCUACCAAGGCGACGAUCAGUAGCUGGUCUGAGAGGACGACCAGCCACACUGGGACUGAGACACGGCCCAGACUCCUACGGGAGGCAGCAGUGGGGAAUUUUGGACAAUGGGCGAAAGCCUGAUCCAGCAAUGCCGCGUGUGUGAAGAAGGCCUUCGGGUUGUAAAGCACUUUUGUCCGGAAAGAAAUCCUUGGCCCUAAUACGGUCGGGGGAUGACGGUACCGGAAGAAUAAGCACCGGCUAACUACGUG